rnacentral:ribozyme from 1 species
AGGGGCAGCAAUUGCUCCUACUUUAAACCUACCAAUGAUGGUCCAAAGUCCAUAUGGAAAAAGGUGAUGGGAGU